GAAGCAUUAAGUUUUUAUUUUGUCAAAUGAGGACAAGAGACAAAAAUCUUCCAUCUACCCUAAUCCUAACUUCAAAAAAGGAAGGACACUGGAACACCAAAAUUAAUGACUCCUCUGAGAACAAAGUAAUUGCUGACUUCAAAGAGCUCCAAGGAAGUUCAGUGGAUGGAAAGAAUUUGGCCAGCAACUGGACUGCAAGUUUACUGAGGACAGUGAUUCCCACUAUUCAGUUUCUCUCUAGCACUGGAGCAAGCCUGGCACAAGGAAGCGUCCUCAAAACACAGAGAAGAACUCUGAAAACCAUGAAGUUGGGUGUUAUCAUUUGUAUUCAAGAAGUCCAAAUUAAGCUGCCAAAGAGGAGAGAAAAUGUCACACGAUAUCACAAAAACUGCACUGGGUCACCUCUUCAUCAUGAAGUGGCAAAAGAGUGUUCACAAUAA
rnacentral:lncRNA from 1 species